GUGUCAGCCGCCGCGGUAAUACGUAGGGUGCAAGCGUUAAUCGGAAUUACUGGGCGUAAAGCGUGCGCAGGCGGCUUUGCAAGAUAGAUGUGAAAUCCCCGGGCUCAACCUGGGAACUGCAUUUGUGACUGCAUGGCUAGAGUACGGUAGAGGGGGAUGGAAUUCAGCGUGUAGCAGUGAAAUGCGUAGAUAUGCGGAGGAACACCGAUGGCGAAGGCAAUCCCCUGGACCUGUACUGACGCUCAUGCACGAAAGCGUGGGGAGCAAACAGGAUUAGAAACCCCUGUAGUCC
rnacentral:rRNA from 1 species